rnacentral:rRNA from 1 species
CAAUAGCGUAUAUUAAAGUUGUUGCAGUUAAAAAGCUCGUAGUUGGACUUGUGGUGGUCUUUGGGGUCCGAUUUCGGUACUCUCGGGGACUGCCAUCUUUGGGUGGAUCCUGUGUGGCAUUAGGUUGUCGUGCAGGGGAUGCCCAUCGUUUACUGUGAAAAAAUUAGAGUGUUCAAAGCAGGCUUAUGCCGUUGAAUAUAUUAGCAUGGAAUAAUGAGAUAGGACCUUGGUACUAUUUUGUUGGUUUGCGCACCGAGGUAAUGAUUAAUAGGGACAGUUGUGGGUAUUCGUAUUCCAUUGUCAGAGGUGAAAUUCUUGGAUUUCUGGAAGACGAACUAAUGCGAAAGCAUUUACCAAGGAUGUUUUCAUUAA